rnacentral:tRNA from 1 species
GUGGCUAUAGCUUCAGUUGGUAGAACGCCAGAUUGUGGUUUUGGAUGUCGCCGGUUCGAGCCCGGUUAGUCACC